rnacentral:rRNA from 1 species
UACGUGGGAUGCAAGCGUUGUCCGGAAUUACUGGGCGUAAAGAGCGCGUAGGCGGCGUGGUACGACCAUUGUGAAAGCCCCCGGCUCAACUGGGGAGGGUCAGUGGUAACGGCCAUGCUACGAGUGCAGGAGAGGGACGUGGAACUCCGGGAGUAGCGGUGAAAUGCGUAGAGACCCGGAGGAACACCAGUGGCGAAGGCGGCGUCCUGGCCUGCGACUGACGCUGUGGCGCGAAAGCUAGGGGAGCAAACGGG